UAUGAUGUCAUGAGUGGCUGGGGGGAUAAGAACAGAGCAGUGAAUGGUGCCUACAAGCAAGGCUUUUGACACCAUGGAUGGCAGAAGGCACCAAAUCCAGUCUAAAUGUCCCCAGACCUUGCUGUCUUAAUUAGUUUCACUGUUACAGAUGUGUGCUAGUCAUUACUGCCUUUCUGUGACUGAAGUUGGAGUUCACGUUGACAAGCCUUGUGGUGAUGUCCCUGAGAGGAUGAAUAGACUGUUUAAUGCACUCUUGUCCUGGAAUCAGCCAAACAUCAAAGGCAUCGUGUGGUUCAUUAUUAAAAAAAAAUACACUUGCACAGAAAGCCUUAGAAAUUAAUGUUAGACUUUUAGUUUGCAUAUGAGGUCGUGCUGCUCCAGUAUGUAUCCCAAAUAUUCUGAGAAAAACCUGUCUCUUCUUAAAUAUGUUUUGAAAAACUGUGUUCCUAAUCUACUAUUGAUUUUAAUAAGGAAGUAAUAUGUUAUAUAAAUGCUGGACAUCGUAGUAUAAAUAAGCAAGCUUUUAAUGCAUAUAAUAAAUCUAUCUAAAUCUAUGUAUAUAUUAAUCUCAAAUGCUAUCACAUUGUGUUCAAUACCUGUACGUGCUUUUAAGUUCAGGAAAUCUGUUCUCGAGACAGCAGGAGCUUGUUCUGAUCUUAGGUACUCUGUUGCAUGUAGUCCUGCACAUCUUGUUUAAUCUGCUAAUAUACGUGUGUGCAAACACAGUGGGCAGCUUUUGAAGGCAUGAGGUGAGAGCACAGCUACACCUCAGAUUUGAAUGGUGAGAAGGGAGCAGAAAGAAAGAGGUUCAAAAGAAUGCUUUGCCUGCUUUCAAUUACAUUUUUCAGGCAUAUAAUGAUAAAUCAAGAUUGCUAAUUUUUCAAAUGUUGAUGCUUCUUCACUGGCUUUUGUUCUAGAUUCCCACAAGGACUAGAAAGGACAGGUUCUAUUGCUUUUUCUUUUUCCAAAGAAAAUCAUAUCAAUCUGCUCAGACUUUCAGUAUUGAAAAGUAGUAAAUUCAGCAUUUGUUUUUCCAGUCAGCAGCCAAACUGAAAGCAAAAUCAUUUAAAUUCAAAGUAAAACUUCUGCGUAUGUGCAUUUGUGGAAACAUAAGUAUUUUGAAGGUAAUGCAGAGUACUUUGUACUACCAAGAACAAGAUCUUCUCUCUCCUAUGGGAGUUAUCAGUGCCCACUAAAAUACUGUAGUAGUUUUAAGUUUUGAAAAUGCCAUCAUUUAGGAAGUGUUGAAAUAUAUUUUACAGACAAUGUCCAAAUUUCUAGAAAAAGCUAUUUCUCAAACUUUUGCCAAAAUUAAAAUAGCGUUAAUCAUUUCAUCAUCCUGCCAUCAAAUAUUCUACUUAAACAAUAAGCAGUUCAUAUUUACAACUAUGUGUUAUACUUGACUGAUCUCAAACAUUAUCUUUUCUGAGAAAUCAUAGCCCUGUUGAUGCUGCCAAUAGGCAUUAUGCUAUUGAGCCAAAAUGGGGUGAGGAGAUGAUGCUGGAUUUGGUCCUCAUUCUAAGAAAUGAAUCCUCAAAGAGGAAGUUGCAAAUUAAUUUGUGUUUAGCUUUAUUGAGACAUUAGCAGCCUUAUUUUGAAGACCGCUGUUUAAAGAGAUUCUCAAAUAACUAUCACAAACUUGUGAAAAUAAGUAUGCUCAUAACGUUGAGGAUCUCCUUCUGCCUUUCUGUCUUAUCAACAAUUAAACCGACAGAAUGGAACAAAUGCUGUCUGCUAACAACAAGUUUUUGAUGUUUGUUGCCAUUCUCAAUGUGAUAGAUGAAUUGGUCAUUUUCUCCAGCUGUCACAUUUCAUUAGCUCUUUCAGUACACUUUGCUUGUGCAAGAUCCUUUUCCCUUGUAGUUCUGACACAGUUUUGCUGCUGUUUUAAAAUCACAGAAGCCUGUGAACUUGUAGUAACUGGUAACGAGAUGGUAGCUGCAAAAUAUAAUACUGACUUCUUAUUGCAGCAGAUUACAAGGAAGUGUUUUGGGUGUUUUAAAAUGUAUGCUUCCCAGUUUGAGCAUGGACUUCAGAAAACUCUUCUCAAGCUUGGCUUCCACAACAGCGAUUCCAGUUUAUGUGACACUAAGGUAAAAGCAAACCAAAUGGCAAGGGAAGAGGGGAAAUAGGCAAAAGCCUUGUGUGUGCUGCAAGUUAACUUGCACUCUUUAUUGGCGGGGGGAUGUAUUGGAGAGGUGUCUGCCUGGGGAAGCCUUUUUUAUUAUCUUUGUCUUGUGGUUGAACUGAUUUACACUGAGAAUACUGUAUUAUCUUCCACACACAUUGUAUUUGAACUUUCUGACUUGGACUACAAUA